UACGUAGGGGGCAAGCGUUGUCCGGAAUUAUUGGGCGUAAAGCGCGCGCAGGCGGUCCUUUAAGUCUGAUGUGAAAGCCCACGGCUCAACCGUGGAGGGUCAUUGGAAACUGGGGGACUUGAGUACAGAAGAGAAGAGUGGAAUUCCGAGUGUAGCGGCGAAAUGCGUAGAUAUGUGGAGGAACACCAGUGGCGAAGGCGACUCUUUGGUCUGUAACUGACGCUGAGGCGCGAAAGCGUGGGGAGCAAACAGG
rnacentral:rRNA from 1 species